rnacentral:snRNA from 1 species
UGAUGUGAGGGCGGUCUGGCUGUCACACUGGCCACCCCACUAACCUGGCUGGCUAGGUGGGUGUCUCAGUCCUCCCUUGCCGCUCUGUGUGCGACUUUCCUGACCUGUGCACACCAAGGAUGAGGACGACCACCCUGACAGGGGAGGGGCAUUCCUCACCCAGGGUAGCUGCACUCCCUGCUGGGACCUCCACACAUGCUCUCAGGAGUGAAGACAUCAACAGCAGAAAAGAUGCACUUACAGCAAGAAUCCCAGACAUGAUGGAAUGCAAACGACACUCGGUCUGU